rnacentral:rRNA from 1 species
CACAUCAUGAAAGCCGGUUGUACCCGAAGUCCAUGAAUUAACCCUGCGCAAGCGGGGAGAUAGUGGCCGAAGGUAUGGCUGGUGAUUGGGAUG